rnacentral:lncRNA from 1 species
UGAUUCCUCUGCCUUGGCCUCCCAAAGUGCUGGGAUUACAGGCAUGAGCCACCACACCCAGGUACUUGUUAAGCCUGAGAAUAGAAUUGCUGGCCCUCCUUCUAUGUAAGCUCCCAGUCUGUCUGCAGAGGCCAGCCUUAAGGUUACUGUUUCUGCUGCUCAGAUGGCCCCAAGCAGGGGGACUCCAGGUGUGAUAUUGGGUACAUUGGUCAUCCCUCUGCCUCCCACCUGGAUGGAAACAGUCUGAGAGCCCUCUCUGUGGCUUGGUUUUAGGCAGGACCUUAGGACUUGUGGGUGAAUUGAUGGGGGAGAUACACACUUACCUAUGUCCUCUUUCCCAGCAUGGGACUUGAAUGCUGCUAUUGGUGCACAUUUCUGCAGACGUGUCUCUGGCUGUCAGGAUGCAGAAUGUUGGUAGGUCCAGUGUGGGGGCUGCCAAAGGCGGUGUCAUGUGCUCUGUGGAUUUUUGUGUGAUUAUAAUGGUCCCAUUUGAAGUUUUCCUGUUUGUUGCAGUAAAACCUCUCUUCAGUGUCUGUUACCUUUCUCUAUAUUCUUGGUGAAGGAGAGAGAUAGUAAUAAGGGGCCUAAAUGAGGUAAGAAGAGCAGAUGCUGUUCUCUGCUUCCUCCCUGCCACCAACAUUCCUUCUGCCCUGUUUUUCCUGGCCAGCUGUGCUCUGGGCAGUCCAAGCCUGUGAACCAGCCACACCCAGGAUCUGUGGUGGAGCUCAGUCCCAGACUGUUCUGGAAGAGUCGCCCAGAGGAGCCGUGUGGUCUCCCAUUCAGCAACAGAGUACGGGAUGGUCUCUCUGAAGGGCAGAGGGUCUGAGCACUGUCCCCUUCAUGGCAUCUAAGGCUGAAAUGCUGAAUGAUGCAAUGAGAGGAUUCUAGGGGAGAAAAGGAGCUGUACAUGGGCUUGAUUCUUCCCUCCCCAGCUGGUGGACACAGCACCAGAGGUGGAGCUGGAGGGCCCUCCACUGACCCACAUGCACUCCACUUUGCAGCUGUGCCCUGGGACACACUUAUAAUCUCAAAGUGUUAUGAAUUCCAACCACUGGAUUCUACCCUACUUCUGACAUAAUCUUCUUGGGUUGAUAGUAGCCUGUCUCAUUACCGAGUAUUUCUUCUUAUGGGUAGCCCUGGUUAGUCAUUUUCUUUUAACUUUUUGUUUAAAGAAGACCUGUAGAUAUGAGCUUUUUGUCAGAGAUGAUCUCUGCAGGCCUGAGUCUAAACUGUUAACCCUCUCUCAGAGAAUGAGUGCUGGCUCUUGAAUUUCAGGCGCUUUGACAUUUACUGAGGGAAAGAAGGAGAAUGGAAGGAGUGAGCAUAAAGCGCUGACCUGAGUGGAAUGGCGGGUCGACUUGCCAGAGCCCCGAGAUGAUUAUACUCUCCCAGCUCUAGGACAAGCUGUCCAAUUUCCCAAAAACCAAUUUGACAAUUGUCGAGUGACCAAUUUGCUGAAUUAGAAGAAUUUACUAAUUUACCAAAUUGCUUAUUUCUUUUAUGCAUUUCUAAAGACUUGAGCAAUUGGCAUGGGCUGGGUUGGCAGGGCCUGAAAGGGUUUGGAGCAAUGAGUCAGAAGCAAUGGUCUCUGGGAACAACCCUGUAGGUGGCGCCACUCUCUGGACUGAGAGGGGCACUGGGUGGAUGGUGGAGAGUUAGGGGAGGCUUUGCUGCAGAGAUCCGAGCCUUGCUGACUCUUCAGUUCUUGUUUUUAAAGCAAUCCUUAUUUUUGACCACCUUUUUUCCUUAAAAGUCAGUCAGCUCACCACUUUUGGAUUCUUCCUUGACUUCCUGGCCGUACAUACUUCCCAUCCUCACGCUGCCUCACUUGUUUGGCUCUUCAUCUCUCUCCUUCUCCUCCUUCACCCUGGAGCAACACCGGAGGCCUCUCAUGUCCUCCCGUGGAGAAGUGGGAGAACAGCACAGCCCUUGCCUUACUAUUUUGUUCUUACGACCCUCAGACCUUCAGGGGCUCACUUUCUCCCACAGCACUGUAGCCAAAGAAAGGUUUCUUUCCUAAGAGGGAUUAUGGUAUCAGCUCUUCAAAUACCAUUAAAUUUUUAUUUUCUACACAUAAACACAUUCUUAUGGUUUUGGAAAAUGGAAGCAGUAUAAAACCAAAAUUUUUUGCAAACUCAGUGUGAUAGCCUUCAUAUAUUAGGCAUUCAAUGAAUAUUUUAGUGAUUAACAAAUGGGUGGUUUUUAAUAAUGAACCUCACCCUGUUAUAACCAAAUACUCGUGUCAGAGAAACUAGCUUGCUUUUAUAUCAAGAUUAUGGCCCUGGAUUUUGAUAAUGCCACAGAAAUAUUGUCAAAUGUUGUUCACUCGGCUCUGCUCUUUCCAAGUUGAGGUGAGCUAAGGGAGCCAACCAAAGUAAGGUUGGUUUCCUGCUCCUUUUCCCCCCCACUUAACCCUUUGCUUAAAAAGCUCUCCGAGGCCAUAAACUACUAGGACACAACUCCCUAUUAAUUAGCCAUUUAUAACUAUGUUUCUGUUGAUUUUUUGGACCAAUCAUUAAUUUGAUAGGGUUAUAGGAAGUCCUAUGCUCCUGUAACUGAGAAGACACUGUCUAAGUGUGGGUCCAGAUUGAGGAGGUCCUUUGGGGUCUGUUGCUUCUAUCAUUGGCCUGACCCACGCUGUCUCUCAAAUUCAGACCUCUCAGAAAAAGGAAGAAAGGCUUCAUCCGCAGUGGGCAUUAAAAAAAAUCAUAAACAUCUAUUCAUGGUCUUGGAAUUGAAUCUUAAGGCAAAGCAGGAUCUCAGUGGAUAUCCUGGAGCUCCUGAAGUUGGUACUACUGGAACACAGAACAUUCCCUACUGAAGAGAAUGUUAUAAAGUGCAUAUGUUCUUUCUUUCUGCAAUUUUCAAGGAUUGUGCACAUCUCUCAGUAACCUAGCCUUCUUUUGAAGCCUUGCUUACAAGACAGAAAAUUAGACAGCUGCUCCAAAAGAGUCAGAUGCUGAGAUCCAUUGUCCACCCUGGCUCCUGCUCUGAAUUGACAUCAGUUUGCAACUAGCAGUUUCAUAAAUCAAGAAAAAGAAGAAAGGUAAAUUAAUGACUGUGUUAACUAGAGGGGCUCUGAAUUUCUGCUUUACAUGUACUCAUUUUGAAUUUCACUUUUAUUAUAAUGAACUUGCAAACACAGCAUUGCAAUAGUAUAUGCACCUCCCAAAGAUGCUGGGAAAUAGCUGAUAUUUCAUCAUUUGAGGACAGUUUGUGCCUGCAAGUGGCAGAGGUGCAGGAGGAGACAAAUAAAAGGGAUGCCUACAUCCUAUUUCCAUGAAUUUCUGUCCUCUGAGCUGAAAGACAAUUUACAAGUUGGCUGAUAAGACCUUGAAGAAAGAAGAUAUUUUAAAACUUUAAUUGAAAAUCCCCAUUCCUUCUCAUUGAAGAAGCAAAAGAAGAAACUAUAAUGAUGGACACUCUGGUGCUAGUAUCAGUCAUUUUGAUCACAAGACGUGGACCAGCCCACCUUGGAGCUCACUGUGGUGGUGGCCUGGUCCUAAUGCAAGUCCUAAUGGAGCUCUUGGAACUGGCUGUAGCCUUUGCUGAGCAGGAGCAACUAUGUCUCUGGUUCUUAAGGAUUGAAAAGUGUCUGUGGCCAUCUGAAAACGUCCACAUGAUGCCAGACCAUGCUUUACUCUGAAAAUCCACCGAUAAGGUACGUUGAAGAUGGAGAACAACUGAUGUCAAGACACAUUUUGGUUGUAAGGGACAGAAGUCCAACUCCAACGAGCUUGCCAAGGAUGGAACCUGCUGGCAAACAUAACCAAACUUUGGGAAGGGCAGGGUAUGGUUAACCUCAGGUUUCUGGAAGCAGAGUGUACAGUGCUGUGCCGUCCCUCUUCUCUCUGCUUCUCUCUGCGUAUUGGCCCUAUCCUCUCAGUGGGGCACCCUCCCUGAGCAGCGAACAGCAGCCACAGGAAGCUCCAGUGUCAAUGCCUCCCACAGCUUUCCAGAGAAGCAGCAGCCUCUUUGUUAGCUCCGUAUCAAAGACAUCCACAGGCAGGGCUUUGUGUGACCCAGUUUGGGUCACGUCUUUAUUUGGGGCCCGGAGGAAAUGGAUACAAUGACUACAGCCCAUCAUAGAACCUCAUGUUUAGAGGACCAAAUUUCCUCUCUCCAAAAGUGAAAUGUUGUCACUGUCCAUUCAACUGAUGAAAAUCUUCCUUUUCAACAGAAAAACUAUCAUGAUGUUGUCUGUUGGGCUUCAGUUUCUUACAGCAGUCAUCUUAAGAAUUAAACUGGUAUGGAUAAUCUGACUAUGAACUCCUUGAGGGCAGGGACCAUAUUAUAUAAUACUUCUGUGUCCUCUGCUAUUUCUUAGCAGAAUUUUGAAAAUGUGCCAAGUGUUGACUUGGUUCGAUCACUUGUGAGAAUGGAGGGACCCAUAAUGUUAAUAAUCAAUGAAGGUUGUUGGAGUUACUUACCCAAAACCUUAUGAACUUAGCCUUCCCUAGCAGAUUUAGUUUCGUAAUUUGUCCGGUAUAAGCAAACACUAAAGAGGGAUUGGGGAAAGUUGUGAGUUGAGUAGUUGGGAAAAAGGUAGUUUGCAGUUUUAUUUACGUCUCACAGCUUGACAUUUUUUGUUUGCCUUGGAGGGGGUACUUUUAAAAAUUCCUCUUUUGAAAACAAUAAAAUCUUAGAUUUUGGAUAACAGAUAUUUCUGUACUAUAUACCUCACUUAAGAUUUUCAAAGUAAUGUUUAAAAGUGCCUUUUAUAUUUUUUCAUACCACAUUGUAGGGAAGGCCAGGGUCAUUUUUUAACACUUAACUAUGCUCAAUACCUCCUCACCACUAUAAAGUAAGGUCGAAUGUUGGUUAAAGCAAAGCUGUCUGGAAUCACCCUGUCAAAAGUACUGAUUUAUAACCUUGCUACUCACAUUUCUUACUGUGGUGCCCUCCCUCUUGUUGGCUCCUGCAUCUUUGAAGUACAGGGAAAAUGAACUAAUAUGGCAGCUCCAAUAUGCAGCUAAUCCUGCCAAUGAUGUCUCCCCUGGAAGUGUUUGAGAGAAGAAUUUCUUUUCCCAGUAUGGAUUUAUGUAAACAUUUGUUCCAUUCACGAGUAGCACAUUAAUGCCUAAUUCUGGAAAAAAUACAAAGAAAAAACCUUU